CACCUCUAGCAUAACAAGUAUUAGAGGCAUUGCCUGCCCAGUGACUAAAGUUAAACGGCCGCGGUAUCCUGACCGUGCAAAGGUAGCAUAAUCACUUGUUCCUUAAUUAGGGACUAGAAUGAAUGGCUAAACGAGGGUUCAACUGUCUCUUACUUUCAAUCAGUGAAAUUGACCUUCCAGUGAAGAGGCUGGAAUACUACAAUAAGACGAGAAGACCCUAUGGAGCUUUAAUUUACUAGUUUAAUUUAUACAGUAACAACCUAAUGGACCAAAACAAAAUAAAUAUAAACUAAAAAUUUCGGUUGGGGUGACCUCGGAGAAUAAAAAAUCCUCCGAAUGAUUUUAACCUAGACCCACAAGUCAAAGUAAUAUUAAUAUCUUAUUGACCCAAUUAUUGAUCAACGGACCAAGUUACCCUAGGGAUAACAGCGCAAUCCUAUUUAAGAGUUCAUAUCGACAAUUAGGGUUUACGACCUCGAUGUUGGAUCAGGACAUCCCAAUGGUGCAGAAGCUAUUAAUGGUUCGUUUGUUCAACGAUUAAAGUC
rnacentral:rRNA from 1 species